ACCCACCCGGGCAGACUUGCGCGAUUAAGGAAAGCAUCUGAUGUCUAUAUUUUUUGUCUGAGAUAUUUUGAUUUUAAGCAUAUUUUAUGUUGCCUGCACAUUAUAUCGCUUUUACUCAAAUUAUUAAAUAGUGAUUUUAUUCAUACCUAUUCGUAGCUCAAACUCUGGUAUGCACAAACAAAAUUCGACCUUGGCUUUGUUCCGUGGCUUAUAUAAGUCUGGCACAGUUCGGGCACAAGACUGCCAGUGUUUGAUUUCCUAUGAACAAUCAGCAACUCAACUAUGGCCAAUCGCUGUUACAAACUCUAACAUUUCCUAAGCUCAAGUUCUGGUAUGCACAAACAGGAUUCGACCUCGGCCUUGUUCCGCGGCAUAUAUAAGUCUGACACCUUUCGAGCAGUGUUUGGUAUAUUGCGUUUGCGCGAACACUGAUCGUUACAUCUGUAUUAAAUAUUUGCGUUAGUACAUAUUUCUCAUUUUUCAUAUUUCAUUUUUUUUUUUUGUUCCCUUAUUAUGCCAUAAACAAUCACUCGUAGAAAUACGUUAUUCGUAAGUGUUCAAGUAUGUUUUCCAAACAGAACGUAUAUUCGUAAAAACCCCGUUUCCCUGUGCGUAUUGUCAUUGACGACACGCGCAGGGCUACGGCUGGUUACGUUCCGCAGAAAUGACGAUUCGCGCGUACGUCAGAUCUAGUGAGCAAAUGGCACAGUUCCAGUGACUCUUAAGAGUUCCGCGUUACGGGUGUAUCGCUCUCGUUUGAGCUGCCCGUCUCGUGUGCCGCUGUAAUGAUCUGACAACGCGUGCGAUUCGAUUCUGAUCCGAUUAUUCGGUGGCUGCGACGUCGUUGAAUGACAUACGAAUCUGUUCGAAACGUUGUACACAUUACG